AGAGGGUGCAAGCGUUGUUCGGAAUUACUGGGCGUAAAGCGCGUGUAGGCGGAUAAAGAAGUCGGGUGUGAAAGCCCUGGGCUCAACCCAGGAAUUGCGCCCGAAACCACUUGUCUAGAGUAUGGUAGGGGAUCGGGGAAUUUCCGGUGUAGAGGUGAAAUUCGUAGAUAUCGGAAGGAACACCAGUGGCGAAGGCGCCGAUCUGGGCCAUUACUGACGCUGAGACGCGAAAGCAUGGGUAGCAAACAGGAUUAGAUACCCUGGUAGUCCAUGCUGUAAACGAUGAGUACUAGAUGCUGGGGGGAAUUGACUCCUUCGGUGCCGAAAGCUAACGCAAUAAGUACUCCGCCUGGGAAGUACGGUCGCAAGUCUG
rnacentral:rRNA from 1 species